ensembl:snRNA U6 U6 spliceosomal RNA
GCUCCCUUUGGUAGCACAUAUACUAAAAUUGGAAUGAUACAGAAAAGAUCAGCAAGGGCCCUGGGCAAGGAUGACAUGCAAACUUGUGAAGUGUUUCACAUUUAU